ensembl:lncRNA
GAAGACAGCGCGCUAGCGUAUCAAGUGUAUGAGUAUCUAUGGUCGGCACGUCUGGUAGCAUCUCUGGCUGCUGUUGACCUUGUUUUUGGAGUAAAACACGGUGGAAGCUGAAUUAGUGAGGAUGACUCCUGCUCCUGUCAUCUCUAAGCUCCUCACACAUCUUUACCUGCACAUGAGGAAAAUCACUCCUGUAGAAUGCAGUGGUUCAUCAGAACCUCUAGGGAUGUCCUGUGGAUUCUGUGGAUCCUGUGGGUUGCAGGGUGGGUCCUACCUAGACCAGGCUGAUCCUGGACCAUCCCACAGAUGCUCAAUCAGAUCUGGAUGUGGGGAGUGUGGAACCCAGAUGUUCAGAUGGAGAUGAUGCCACAUCUGGUCCAGCUGAUGGAAGGUCUUGAAGUUCUCUGACUGGCCUCGACUGAAGAUGGUCGUCUCACUGGAUUUAAGGUUCAGAUGCUCAGUAACAAACUCCACCAAUGAGCCAACAGGGAAGCUUUAGGUUUAUUAAAUGUUGC